UGAACGCUGGCGGCGUGCCUAAUACAUGCACGUCGAGCGAACAGAUGAGGAGCUUGCUCCUCUGACGUUAGCGGCGGACGGGUGAGUAACACGUGGAUAACCUACCUAUAAGACUGGGAUAACUUCGGGAAACCGGAGCUAAUACCGGAUAAUAUAUUGAACCGCAUGGUUCACUAGUGAAAGACGGUUUUGCUGUCACUUAUAGAUGGAUCCGCGCCGCAUUAGCUAGUUGGUAAGGUAACGGCUUACCAAGGCAACGAUGCGUAGCCGACCUGAGAGGGUGAUCGGCCACACGGGAACUGAGACACGGUCCAGACUCCUACGGGAGGCAGCAGUAGGGAAUCUUCCGCAAUGGGCGAAAGCCUGACGGAGCAACGCCGCGUGAGUGAUGAAGGUCUUCGGAUCGUAAAACUCUGUUAUUAGGGAAGAACAAAUGUGUAAGUAACUAUGCACGUCUUGACGGUACCUAAUCAGAAAGCCACGGCUAACUACGUG
rnacentral:rRNA from 1 species